GAAGUAUUCGAAGCAUUAUUUAUUUUUCUUUGUUAGCAGGAAAAGAGAAGAUAGGCAUUCGCACAGCUCGGGUUUCAAAGAAGAUCAAAAGCAACGAGAACUUCUAACGGACGGUGACGCGAGACAACGCAUCGAGAUCGAAUUCAACCUGUGUCAGUGACCAGCAUAUGUCAGAUUAACACGCUUUCUAUUCUUGAAUAGAACUCGGUGCCCCCAUUGUGGGGAAGCAGAGACACCGGGUCACUAUUGGUUGUACUGCCCAAAUUACGCGGUGGCCGGCCAGGAACUGGGUCGUAGUCUGGCAUUGGACUUCACAAUAGUAAGGACUUUGUCCCCAAUUUAUUGGCCGAACGCGGAAACUCACCCGACGAAACAUGCAUAUACUCGAGCGAUACAUAUCAAGGACAGGCCAAUUUAUCUAGGUAGACGGCGACGCUCGUCGGAGAGAAAGCGAACCAAGGCUAUAAUCUCCAUAUAAACCCGGUAGGAGAAAGACGAAGAAUAGAACUCGGUUGUCAACCCAACGACUUUUAUAUGAGGACUUGACUUUGUCAAGACUGACAGAUCAUCUUCAUUCGGGUGUUGAAAGACCUUUGAGUAUAAAUUGAUGUUCUGUUUGACAACGAGAGACGCUUUGAUAUACAAUUACUGUAGUUAUAUUUACACUUUUAGUGUAAUCUUUUAUUCGUUGCUAUGUUUAUUUUAAAUUGACAAAUUUUUAUGAAGAUUUUUCCCCAAAAAAACAUUUGAUUAAAAUAACAUAAUAAUUGGAUUUUUCGCCAUCGGUUUCGGUUUAACGAAUUCAUCGAAUUACAACGAAUAUCCAGUUUUACUUCUUGAUUGUUAUUCUGUCAAGCAAUCAGGAUUAGUUUAUGGAAAUCAAAAAACUACCACAAAAUGGGUGUCGCCUUGACGCGGCUUUGUGGCUUAAUGUGUGAAAAUUUUAUCAAGUUUUACACGUAAGAUUUUUCACAGACUAAAUAUACUCGACAGAAGUAUUUCAAACAACGUAACAAGGAAAUUUCAUUAAAAUCCUGUAUAAUCUAAAAUUAAUAAUGUAUAUACUGUAUAUGAAUGAGAAUCUUUGUUUGUUCUCUAUACACUUCUAGGCCUGUGCAUCUAGGCUUCUAGGCUUAGCUAUGUAUAUAAUCGAGAUGGAUGGAUAAUAAUAAUAAUAAUCGCAGAGCACAAAUGGUUAGGAGUUGAAAGUUGAAAUUUGGUACAUUGUUAGGGUACGCCAUGAGAAUGCACACUAAGAAGGCAUUUUUUAAACAUCCCCGCGAAAAUAGGGAGAGGAUUAAGGAUUACUCUGAAGAAUUCGGCUUCUACUCUUCUACUUUAGUCGCCGUUUUUUGCGUUUUUGAGAGAAAUCGAAUAUAUUUUUAGAUCCAUCAUUAACAGGAUGCAGUUAGAAAGACGCUAUUAAUAAAUCUAUUAACAGCGCCUAAAUCUAUUAAAUAGGCAAUUAAUAAAUCUGCAUUUAUAUUCUCUUUUUAAUGGCGCAGAAU